rnacentral:misc_RNA from 1 species
ACUCUUCAACCCUCCAGUUCCUUGUUGAACUGUGAGGUGCUUGGAUUCUGAGCGUUGCUGGCCCUAGCGAAUUUCGGUUCGCAAAGGGCGGAGCUCGUUCGUAAUACAUUAGCAACUCAAUUUCGAAUAUUCGGAUUGACUCGGCGUAAUAGACUAUUCGCUGAGGACACUGGCGCAAGCUGGUGGCCGAAUUUCGAGGUAGAUGCUCCUAACUCUUCAAAGUCAAACUUUUAAG